rnacentral:rRNA from 1 species
GUGAGGAAUAUUGGUCAAUGGACGAGAGUCUGAACCAGCCAAGUCGCGUGAAGGAAGACGGUUCUAUGAAUUGUAAACUUCUUUUGUGCAGGAAUAAAGUGGGUUACGUGUAACCUUUUGUAUGUACUGUACGAAUAAGGAUCGGCUAACUCCGUGCCAGCAGCCGCGGUAAUACGGAGGAUCCGAGCGUUAUCCGGAUUUAUUGGGUUUAAAGGGUGCGUAGGUGGAUUGAUAAGUCAGCGGUGAAAGUUUGCAGCUUAACUGUACAAUUGCCGUUGAAACUGUCGGUCUUGAGUGCAAAUGAGGUAGGCGGAAUGUGUUGUGUAGCGGUGAAAUGCUUAGAUAUAACACAGAACUCCGAUUGCGAAGGCAGCUUACUGGGAUGCAACUGACACUGAUGCACGAAAGCGUGGGUAUCAAACAGGAUUAGAUACCCCUGUAGUCC